CUGCACCCUCCCUGACAAGUGGGGGUCACGGUCAUCCCCACACUGCUUCCACGUCUUCUAAGACGCCACCACAGGGAGCUUAUCUUCGGCACUUUCUUCCACAGCCUCCUCCUCCUACGUUUCCAGAUGAGGAACAGCAGCAAAGGAAAGGCCAUUCUGCACUAUUUCCCUCAAAGGAUGCUAACCGACAGUCUUUUACGCGGCUGAUUGGACUACAUCUUAAGACCUCGAAAGAAGUUUUACUGAGGAUCACGGCACGCUGAAAAUAAUUUUGCAUUUCUUUACUUUUAAGUCACAGCUUUACUGCGGAUGUAACUCACGCGCCAUAAAAUUCGCUCUUUCACGGUGUACCAUUCGGCGGUUUCGAGUUCACCCUCAACGCGGCGCGGCCCCCACCACGAUGUGGUCCCAGGACAUUCUUCUCACCCAGAGAAGCAUCUGCACACCAGAGGCUCCCACCCCACCCCGACUCGCACAGCCCCCGGCGACCACGAACCUUUCUGUCUGCUUUCCCAGUUCCAGACAACUCCUCUCGGUGGAAUCACACAAAAUGUGGGCUGUCUUCUGUGAAAGGGAUUCGUUGUCUUCUUUUUUGCUCUUACAGAAUCACCUUUUUAAUGCCAGCGGUAGAUGCUGGUCCUGCGGCCACUGAAACGCCGUAUUUGGAGCGGCCGCCUCUGUUGACCAGAGAUGAAACUCAAAAGCCAACCAUCCAAUGGGCCCCUUUGAUCACGAGCCUUACGGAAGCCGCCAGCUGACUCCUCCUGGAGGCCAGGACCUGCCUCAGCUCCCAGGGCUUGUGACUUUGCCGCGUCCCUCUUGUUCUCCGACAGCCCACCUCGUACCUUUCUGUCCUCUGGCUUCUCAUCUUCACUAGUUCCAGACCCUUUCUGCCUACCUGGCUCCGUAGGGCUACCCUGU